rnacentral:rRNA from 1 species
UUCGGACUGCAGUCUGCAACCCGACUGCACGAAGCCGGAAUCGCUAGUAAUCGCGGAUCAGAAUGCCGCGGUGAAUACGUUCCCGGGUCUUGUACACACCGCCCGUCACACCAUGGGAGUUGGAAAUGCCCGAAGUCAGUGACCCAACCAUUAAGGAGGGAGCUGCCGAAGGCAGGUUCAAUAACUGGGGUGAAGUCGUAACAAGGUAAC